CCUACGGGAGGCAGCAGUGGGGAAUAUUGCACAAUGGGGGAAACCCUGAUGCAGCGACGCCGCGUGAGUGAAGAAGUACUUCGUUAUGUAAAGCUCUAUCAGCAGGGAAGAAAAUGACGGUACCUGAGUAAGAAGCACCGGCUAACUACGUGCCAGCAGCCGCGGUAAUACGUAGGGGGCAAGCGUUAUCCGGAUUUACUGGGUGUAAAGGGAGCGUAGACGGCAGUGCAAGUCUGGAGUGAAAGGCGGGGGCUCAACCCCCGGACUGCUCUGGAAACUGUACGGCUGGAGUGCAGGAGAGGUAAGUGGAAUUCCUAGUGUAGCGGUGAAAUGCGUAGAUAUUAGGAGGAACACCAGUGGCGAAGGCGGCUUACUGGACUGUAACUGACGUUGAGGCUCGAAAGCGUGGGUAGCAAACAGGAUUAGAUACCCGAGUAGUC
rnacentral:rRNA from 1 species